rnacentral:tRNA from 1 species
AGCGGGUUCGUUCAAUUGGUUAGGACAACGGGUUUUGAUCCCGUCGAUCUAGGUUCGAGUCCUAGGCCCGCCGCCA